rnacentral:rRNA from 1 species
UACGUAGGGUGCGAGCGUUAAUCGGAAUUACUGGGCGUAAAGCGUGCGCAGGCGGUAAGUUAAGUCUGAUGUGAAAGCCCCGGGCUCAACCUGGGAACUGCAUUUGUGACUGCAUCGCUGGAGUGCGGCAGAGGGGGAUGGAAUUCCGCGUGUAGCAGUGAAAUGCGCAGAUAUCAGGAGGAACACCGGUGGCGAAGGCGGGUCUCUGGGCCGAUAUUGACGCUGAGGAGCGAAAGCGUGGGGAGCGAACAGG